UGGGAAUUUUGGACAAUGGGCGAAAGCCUGAUCCAGCAAUGCCGCGUGUGUGAAGAAGGCCUUCGGGUUGUAAAGCACUUUUGUCCGGAAAGAAAUCCUUGGCUCUAAUACAGUCGGGGGAUGACGGUACCGGAAGAAUAAGCACCGGCUAACUACGUGCCAGCAGCCGCGGUAAUACGUAGGGUGCAAGCGUUAAUCGGAAUUACUGGGCGUAAAGCGUGCGCAGGCGGUUUGCUAAGACCGAUGUGAAAUCCCCGGGCUCAACCUGGGAACUGCAUUGGUGACUGGCAGGCUAGAGUAUGGCAGAGGGGGGUAGAAUUCCACGUGUAGCAGUGAAAUGCGUAGAGAUGUGGAGGAAUACCGAUGGCGAAGGCAGCCCCUGGGCCAAUACUGACGCUCAUGCACGAAAGCGUGGGGAGCAAACAGGAUUNGAUACCCUGGUAGUCACGCCCUAAACGAUGUCAACUAGUUGUUGGGGAUUCAUUUCCUUAGUAACGUAGCUAACGCGUGAAGUUGACCGCCUGGGGAGUACGUCGCAAGAUUAAAACUUAAAGGAAUUGGCGGGGUCAU
rnacentral:rRNA from 1 species